AACGAACGCUGGCGGUAUGCUUUACACAUGCAAGUCGAACUGGCAAGAGCCGUAGCAAUACGCAGUUCUGCUAGUGGCACACGGGUGAGUAACGCGUGGGAAACUACCUUAUAGUACGGAAUAGCCCCGGGAAACUGGGAUUAAUACCGUAUACGCUCUUCGGAGGAAAGAUUUAUCGCUAUAAGAUGUGCCCGCGUUAGAGUGGCUUGUUGGGGAGGUAAUGUCUCACCAAGGCGACGAUCUAUAGCUGGUUUGAGAGGAUGAUCAGCCACACUGCAACUGAGAGACGGACAAGGCUUCUACGGGAGGCAGCGUGGGGGAAUAUUGGACAAUGGGCGAAAGCCUGAUCCAGCAAUACCGCGUGAGUGAUGAAGGCCUUAGGGUUGUAAAACUCUUUCAGUGUGGAAGAUAAUGACGGUACCCACAGAAGAAGCACCGGCUAACUCCGUGCCAGCAGCCGCCGUAA
rnacentral:rRNA from 1 species